rnacentral:rRNA from 1 species
GACAGAGGGUGCUAGCGUUGUUCGGAAUUACUGGGCGUAAAGGGCGCGUAGGCGGCUCGUUUAGUCGGGUGUGAAAUCCCAAGGCUCAACCUUAGAACUGCAUUCGAUACUGGCGGGCUAGAGACCGGAAGAGGUGGGUGGAAUACCCAGUGUAGAGGUGAAAUUCGUAGAUAUUGGGUGGAACACCGGUGGCGAAAGCGGCUCACUGGCUCGGUUCUGACGCUGAGGCGCGAAAGCGUGGGGAGCAAACAGG